rnacentral:rRNA from 1 species
GACGAACGCUGGCGGCGUGCUUAACACAUGCAAGUCGAACGGAAAGGCCCUGCUUUUGUGGGGUGCUCGAGUGGCGAACGGGUGAGUAACACGUGAGUAACCUGCCCUUGACUUUGGGAUAACUUCAGGAAACUGGGGCUAAUACCGGAUAGGAGCUCCUGCUGCAUGGUGGGGGUUGGAAAGUUUCGGCGGUUGGGGAUGGACUCGCGGCUUAUCAGCUUGUUGGUGGGGUAGUGGCUUACCAAGGCUUUGACGGGUAGCCGGCCUGAGAGGGUGACCGGCCACAUUGGGACUAAGAUACGGCCCAGACUCCUACGGGAGGCAGCGGUGGGGAGUAUUGCACAAUGGGCGGAAGCCUGAUGCAGCAACGCCGCGUGCGGGAUGACGGCCUUCGGGUUGUAAACCGCUUUCGCCUGUGACGAAGCGUGAGUGACGGUAAUGGGUAAAGAAGCACCGGCUAACUACGUG